CUCUCUAUUCGUCGAUCUGUUUCCUCGAUUCGAUUUAGAAAAGAGGAUUUGAUUUGAUUAUUCAUGAUUAUAUGUUGAUAAUUGAUUGAUUCGAUGUGUGGAUGUGCAAAUUAAAGGUUCGAUAAGGCUUCCGCUGAUGAUGCCGGAGCACCGUAAGCUUAUGGUGUUCUCUUUGUUUGUUUGUUGAUUAGCUUGUGUGUUUCGGUGUAAACCCUGUGGUGGUACGUGGUGGCUUUGUUGAAUUCAAUUUUGCAAAUGUUGUUGUUUGUUUUCAUCGGUUGUUGAUUCUGUUGUGCCGAGGGCUCAAUCGUGUUAUGAAUAGCGCCAGACUGUGGUUGGGUUGAGUGGUUUGGAUGCUGACCAUUAUAGGAAAUGCUUUGUGCUGUGUUUCUGUGUUGUGGGGAUGUUGCGAAAUUGCAGCCAAAUUGUGGGGAUAGCUUAAUUAUUUCGUGUUAGCACUUUUACCACUCCAUUUUCUGUUCAGAGCCAAAUUCUGAUAGCCUACUGAUGCGCCUGGCCGAGCCCAUAAAUUUGCUUGCCAGAUUCAAGUAGUUCAUACAUUUUGGCCUGAUCCAAGAACAAGUGCACGCAGAGCAGGCUUAUAUUUUGUAUUUUUAUCUUCUUUUUUCCCAAUCUAAAACACUUGGACAACUUGUUAUAAGACAAUUUAUCCUCUGUCAACUUAUUAUAAGACGUUGAUAUCCUUUUUUUGGGGGAUGGAGGGGAUUGAUUUCAUUGUCUCUUUACCCCCCAACAUCUGUUUUGCAGUUCAUAAAACGGAGGAGCGAUGACAGGGACUUUUUAAACUUUUAACUUAAAUAUGAUAUAUAUGAGACAUCUUUUUCCUUCUUUUUUUGUGUUGUGCGAUCUGCAUACUUCAUAUUCCAUUAAUAUUUCUGUUGUAGUCCUUCCUUUUUUCCCCCUUUAAACUCCACAUCUUCCCAUCCCCUCUUUUUUAUGUUCAUUCUUUUGUUCUCAUUGCUCUAAUCAUUAAUUAUUGCUUGAAAUUAAUGGUGAAUAGGUAUUAGGUUAUGGCUUACGGUUAUUAAUUAUGAGCACAUAUUUAAUUGUGUCAUUAUUUAUUUUUAAGUACCUAUAUUUUUUUUUAUCUAUCAAAAUUACAAUGAUAGCACCAAAGUUCAAACCUAAGGUCCUAUGCAUUUAACUCCAAUCCCCCAACCACUAGGCCGAUCUUAGUAGUUCCUUUUAAGUACUUAUAUGAGUAUAGUAUAAAUUAUAAAUUAUGUUGUAUCAUGAUCUUUGGUAUAGUAGCUAUCACACUAUCCCCUAUGGUGGUUUUGAAGUUUGCCAGGAUUGAUAAGUAAGGUCUCAAUCAUAGUAGUCAAUAGCGGUUGUAGCGGCCCCAAUCGCGGCUCGUUGGAGCAAAGUGGCUCCGUGCCGCUAUAGAAAACUUGUUGCAGAGCACUUUAAAGUAGCAACCGCGAAAGCAACAGAGCGUGGCGACGCAAUGGUCUGUCUUCUUCUCUGGCAGAUUUCUCCAGAUCUGUCUUCUUCUUCGAUGGCACCAGAUCUGUCUUCUCCAGCGUAUCAUUUUCAGAUUUUUCUUCUUCCAAGAGGGGAGGUAGCGAUGGCUAAUGAGUUAAGGGUUAGAGGCUCGAAGUAAAAAAAAAUUAGGGUUGGAAAAGUUGGGUCAAAUGGGCCCAAAUUUUAUUUUCUCUUUUGGUUUGGUUAUAGGCCUAGGUAAAGUUUAUUUUUACUUCUCUUUUUUUCUUACAGUAACUUAUCUUUAUUUUUAAUUAUUAUUAUAAUUCAGAUAAUAUUUUAAGUAAUAAAAAAUUUAGAGUUCCCUGCAAAGUAUAUUUGGGGAAGAUGGGCAGGUGUGUUUCACUUUUCCAUUGAAAAUAGCAAAAAUCAUCUCCCUACAUUUUUUUUAGCUUAAAUAUGUUUUUAGUCCAUCAAAUUUAGGGGAAAUUUGUUUUUGGUUUCUCAAAUUUAAAAUUGUUGUUUUUAGUUCUUUUAAUUUUCAAAAAUCUUGUUUUAUUUUCUCAGGUCAUAAAGAAUAUAUCUUAAAGUGACAAGUUGAGAUAGUUAUACAAUAUCAAUUGGAUUUAAUGUGAUGUUUUCACUAACAAAGACAUUAGUAGCUAGAUUUUAUGUGACAGUAUAUGACAGAUUCUCUAACAAAAUUGAGUAUAAGGACUAAAAUAAGAUUUUUUGAAAUUUUGGAGACCAAAAAGACUAAUUUUAAAUUUGAGGGACUGAAAACAUAUUUAAAUCUUUUUUCAUAAAAAGGAAACAAAUUGUUAACUCUUUUUUUUAUUUUUUUAUUUUUCUGUUGGUGAUUCUACCAGGUGUUACCAAUCCUGGAUAGGUAAUUAGAUACUGUUGGAUGGAAAAUUGGAGUGGAACAAGGCCUUGUUCUGGGCAGGGAUUGUGUGUAUCGGUGUUGUGCUACAAUGAUUGCACUAUUCCGAAAGAGUUCCCUGCAAAAUAAAUUUGGGGGAGAUGGGCAGUUGUGUUUCACUUUGCCAUUGAAAAUAACAACAAUCAUCCCCCCUACAUUUUUUUUU